AGUGAACGCUGGCGGUAGGCCUAACACAUGCAAGUCGAACGGCAGCACAGUAAGAGCUUGCUCUUACGGGUGGCGAGUGGCGGACGGGUGAGGAAUACAUCGGAAUCUACUUUUUCGUGGGGGAUAACGUAGGGAAACUUACGCUAAUACCGCAUACGACCUACGGGUGAAAGCAGGGGAUCUUCAGACCUUGCGCGAUUGAAUGAGCCGAUGUCGGAUUAGCUAGUUGGCGGGGUAAAGGCCCACCAAGGCGACGAUCCGUAGCUGGUCUGAGAGGAUGAUCAGACACACUGGAACUGAGACACGGUCCAGACUCCUACGGGAGGCAGCAGUCGGGAAUAUUGGGCAAUGGGCGAAAGCCUGAUACAGCCAUACCGCGUGAGUGAAGAAGGCCUUCGGGUUGUAAAGCCAUUUUGUUGGGAAAGAAAAGAAGCAGGUUAAUACCCCGCUGUUCUGACGGUACCCAAAGAAUAAGCACCGGCUAACUUCGUG
rnacentral:rRNA from 1 species